AAGUAGAGGCGCGAGGAAAAUGAUGAGGACCGGGAGGCGGCAGCCGGUGAAUGGUCCAAAAGGUUUCCUUGCCGAAAUUCGGCUCCGGGCACGGAGUCGUGUUGGGACGGACUUGAAUAAGGUCCGGACUGUCACCAACCAUCGCUCAAGUUGGUGUUGUGCUACUGU
rnacentral:ncRNA from 1 species